GACGAACGCUGGCGGCGUGCUUAACACAUGCAAGUCGAACGGAAAGGCCCUGCUUUUGUGGGGUGCUCGAGUGGCGAACGGGUGAGUAACACGUGAGUAACCUGCCCUUGACUUUGGGAUAACUUCAGGAAACUGGGGCUAAUACCGGAUAGGAGCUCCUGCUGCAUGGUGGGGGUUGGAAAGUUUCGGCGGUUGGGGAUGGACUCGCGGCUUAUCAGCUUGUUGGUGGGGUAGUGGCUUACCAAGGCUUUGACGGGUAGCCGGCCUGAGAGGGUGACCGGCCACAUUGGGACUGGGAUGCGGCCCAGACUCCUACGGGAGGCAGCAGUGGGGAAUAUUGCACAAUGGGCGGAAGCCUGAUGCAGCAAAGCCGCGUGCGGGAUGACGGCCUUCGGGUUGUAAACCGCUUUCGCCUGUGACGAAGCGUGAGUGACGGUAAUGGGUAAAGAAGCACCGGCUAACUACGUG
rnacentral:rRNA from 1 species